rnacentral:rRNA from 1 species
GUGCCUAACACAUGCAAGUCGAACGAGAAAGUGGAGCAAUCCAUGAGUAAAGUGGCGACCGGGUGAGUAACACGUGACUAACCUACCUUCGAAUGGGGGAUAACUCCGGGAAACCGGGGCUAAUACCGGCAAUAAUAUCUUCGGGAUGAAAAGCCGGAGAUCAAAGAAGCAAUUCGUUUGAAGAGGGGGUCGCGGCUGAUUAGUUAGUUGGCGGGGUAACGGCCCACCAAGACGAUGAUCAGUAGCCGGCCUGAGAGGGCGCACGGCCACACUGGAACUGAAACACGGUCCAG